UUUUUGUUGUUGUUUUUGAAAAAUGGUCGCAGCAAGUCAAGAGCUGAGCCUAGGGUGUAGCUGACUCAGAUGAGGGAGGGGCUCUAGAACUCUAAGCUAAUGUGGAGCCAGCAGGCAGGGCCAGGGCCAGGGAAACCCUAGUGUGAGAACCAAAAGGCUGGGUGAGACAGAGUCAGGACACUGGAAGCUAUCUACGAGCUACCUAGAGGCUGGCUGAUUUAUGAAGUCCUCACCGCAGACCAACAGGGAAACUGUUGUGCAGAAACAGAUUGACUCAGAAACACGUGAUAAGACUGUGGUCUAAAAAGGGAAAUUUAAGAGUCACCAAAGGGCCAGAAGCAGCUGUGACAAGGGAUUAAGAGCCCAGGACGUGAGAGCAGAAACAGGAAAUCCAGGACUCUGGCCAUGUCUCCAAAGGAGGCCCCUGCAACACACGGGUGGGCUGGCUGCCAGGGCUGGCAGAAGGAGAUGUGUGCUGGAAAUAAACGAGGAGCUGUUUGCUUACAGAUCUUCCCCACCACCUCAUGGUCCCUGGAGAUGUGAGCAAGCAGCCCUGUAGCUACCACAGAUGGGAGCUGGUCCUGCGGUCAUGCCUUCCCCAUCAUGAUGGACUGGAUCCCUUGAGCCAUGAGCCAGCAUAAACCUUCUUCACUUCUGUUGCUCUUUGGCAGGUCAUAGCAAUCAGAAAAGUAGUACAGGCGUGCACCCACUUUUCUCGCAGAGAUAGGAGUGGCUGGAGGGGUUCUGGCUACAGCCAGGUUUCAGAAGGCAAUUUGGGAAGAAGUAACUGAAGGGCAAGUGCAGCUGGCAUGAUAACUAGACCCAGCAGUGGGCCUAGGCACCGGAGGGAAGCAGCAUUGGAGUCCUAGUGUACUGACAAGAGUGGGCAUUUAAGCAACUAUGAAGGUGUAAAGUAGGCAGAAAUCCCAGCUCUCAGGCCUGGUGGUGGACUUCUGACUUGGAGUGUCAUACUGUGGAGGCAGUUUCUUUAUCUCUAUUUUAUAUAUCAUGCUUGAAUCUAAUUAAACAGAACAGAAGGUGGAGGUUGGGAAGAUGGCUCAGUGGGUAAGGCAUUUGUCUUGCAACUGUGAAGACCUAAGUUUGAAUCUCUGAAAAACCUUGUAAAGCUGGACACAUCAUCCAUCAUUCCAGGAAUCCUACAGAGAGCUGGGAGACAGGGAUAGGAAAAGGCCAGCUAGGUGGAUGUACACACUGUGGAACAAAAGACCCUGCGGUAGCUUGAAUAAGAAUAGGCUCAUGUAUCUGAAUACUUGGGAUUCCGAGGUAUGACCUUGUUGGAGUAGGUAUGACCUUGUUGGAGUAGGUGUGACCUUGUUGGAAGAAGUGCAUCUCUCAGGGUGGGAUUUGAGGUUUCAAAAACCCAAGCCAGUCCCAAAGUCUCUCCUCCUGCUCAACCUGUGGAUCCAGAUAAAGAACUCUCAGCUACUUCUCCAGCACCGUCUCUGCCUGCACGUGAACAUGCUCCUCCCUGUGAUGACAAUGAGUUAAAUCUCUGAAACUGUCUGUAAGCCAGCUCCAGUUAAGUGCUCUCCUUUAUAAAAAUUGCUGGGGCCCUUGGUGUCUCUUGGAAGCAAUAAAACACUGACUAAGACAACCUUAUCUCCAGCAAAGUGGAAGACCAGGGUUAACACCCAAGGUUGUCCUUUGACCUCUAUGCAUACACACUGUGACACAAACAGGCCUAUAUCCACAUACAUAAAUGUGAACACACCACACACACACACACACACACACACACACACACACACACACACACACACACACAGAGACAGCCAGGAAGACGGGGUCGGGGGAUGACUAUACAAAUAUAUGUGGUAGUUCCCAUACCCAAAAGUAGCCAUUGAUGACAACUUGAGGAUGUAAUGGCCUCUUAGAGUAGUGCUUCAGAGACUUCGACAUUCAUAUAAAGUAGCUGAUGGGAUCCAGUAUUUUAGGGUGAGGCCCAAGAUUCUUUACUUCUUUUUUUUUUUUUUUUUUUUUUGGUUCUUUUUUUCGGAGCUGGGGAUCGAACCCAGGGCCUUGCGCUUCCUAGGCAAGCGCUCUACCACUGAGCUAAAUCCCCAACCCCAAGAUUCUUUACUUCUAACAAGCUUGCAGGCAACAUCGCUGCUGUUGUUCAAGAUGACUCCUGGAGGUCAAAGGAAUGAGGGGGUAUCGUGAUGACACCAUAGUGUUCAUAGUCUGGUGCUCAGCAAGCCUGGAGUGGUAUGGUCCGUAAUUUUCAUGCUCUGUUUUGAAUCCAGAACCAAUAAAAAUCCAAAAAGUAUUUUCCUUUAGAGGAAAAAAUAUGGUUUGAACCUGUAUGAGGUUAUUUAUGAAACGUAUUUCUGAGUUUACAUGAAUGGCAUAUGUUUACUGUGAGUGUUGUGUUUGAUUAUAAGAAGUUACUUUAGACUCUAUUAGGGAUGCUGCUGAGAUGUUUUACCAUAUUCUGGAGCCACAAAUUAGGAAUCCUGAAAUAUUUUUGACUAUCAGAGUUUGUGCUGCAUAGUAAUUUCCUCCAACUUAAAACCUUCCAAUUUGGAGGAAAGCUCAUUAAGACAAGGGAUGUUUUUCUUUAAAACAAUAUUUAAUUAAUUUUUAACUGAAUAUAAAUUCUUCUCUCAUAUGCUACAUCCCUACCACAGUUUCCCCUCCCUCUACUGCUCCCAGUUCCCCUCCCUAGUUCCUUUCUCCUCAGAUCCAUUCUCCCUCUAUUUCCUCUUCAGAAAAGAGCAGACCUCCGAGGAGUUACCAGCCCAAUAGGACAAAACAAGAUACAAUAAGACAAGGCAAAAGUCCUCAGGUUGAGGCUGGACAAAACAACCCAAUAGGAGGAAAAGAAUCCCAACAGCAGACAAAGAGUCAGAGACACAUCUACUCCCACUGCUAGGAAUCCCACACAACACAAAGCUAUCAGCUAUAAAUAUAUGCAGAAGACCUGAUGCAGACCCAUGCAGGCUCCUUGCUUGAGGUGGGUUGGGUAAGUGAGUGAGGCAACAUGGGAGGUGAAACAUUCCAUUCUGCCGGGAAUCUCCUUAAACUCAGGAAGUAAACAAUGCAAAGAUUUCAGGAAUUUCCUGAAACUGACCAGAUUUACUAGGUCUCUUCCUCUCCAAGCAUAUAUAAACAUAUAUAGGCCUUAAGGACAGCUGAGAGACACAAUUAAACAAGCUGAUCAGCCUAGAAGACACUCAACAAGCACGCACGCAUGCACACAACCCAGAAGAGACUCACACCAACCAAAUUACCUGGGAAGAACACUCCCACCCAUUGAGAUGUCUACAGGCUGUGCAAUGUGUUUCGGGUUACAGCUUUUUUGAGCCAUUGCCCAUGUUAGAGUGGAUUUUUGGUCAUGAAACUGUCUUUGAAUAAUUUCUGCUGCUCUAAGUAACCCCUCACCUAUAAGUAACCCCAAUAAAGCUCAUUGAUUCAUCAA